ACAGGGCCUGGUGGGGCAGCAGUACCAUGCAAGUCGAGCGGAUGAAGGGAGCUUGCUCCUGGAUUCAGCGGCGGACGGGUGAGUAAUGCCUAGGAAUCUGCCUGGUAGUGGGGGAUAACGUCCGGAAACGGGCGCUAAUACCGCAUACGUCCUGAGGGAGAAAGUGGGGGAUCUUCGGACCUCACGCUAUCAGAUGAGCCUAGGUCGGAUUAGCUAGUUGGUGGGGUAAAGGCCUACCAAGGCGACAAUCCGUAACUGGUCUGAGAGGAUGAUCAGUCACACUGGAACUGAAACACGGUCCAGACUCCUACGGGAGGCAGCAGUGGGGAAUAUUGGACAAUGGGCGAAAGCCUGAUCCAGCCAUGCCGCGUGUGUGAAGAAGGUCUUCGGAUUGUAAAGCACUUUAAGUUGGGAGGAAGGGCAGUAAGUUAAUACCUUGCUGUUUUGACGUUACCAACAGAAUAACCACCGGCUAACUUCGUGCCAGCAGCCGCGGUAAUACGAAGGGUGCAAGCGUUAAUCGGAAUUACUGGGCGUAAAGCGCGCGUAGGUGGUUCAGCAAGUUGGAUGUGAAAUCCCCGGGCUCAACCUGGGAACUGCAUCCAAAACUACUGAGCUAUAGUACGGUAGAGGGUGGUGGAAUUUCCUGUGUAGCGGUGAAAUGCGUAGAUAUAGGAAGGAACACCAGUGGCGAAAGGCGACCACCUGGACUGAUACUGACACUGAGGUGCGAAAGCGUGGGGAGCAAACAGGAUUAGAUACCCUGGUAGUCCACGCCGUAACGAUGUCGACUAGCCGUUGGGAUCCUUGAGAUCUUAGUGGCGCACCUAACGCGAUAAGUCGACCGCCUGGGGAGUACGGCCGCAAGGAUAAAACUCAAAUGAAUUGACGGGGGGCCCGCACAAGCGGUAGAGCAUGGUGGUUUACUUCAGAGCACGCCGAAAACUCUUAACCUGGCCUGACCAUGCUGAGAACUUUCCAGAAAUGGAUUGGUGCCUUCGAGAACUCAAAAACAGGUGCUGCAUGGCUGUCGUCACCUCGUGUCGUGAAUUGUGGGUAAGCUCAAACGAGCGCACCCGUGCUCUAACUACACACCUGGGGGGGGCUCUAGGAAACUGCCCGGGGACCAACCGAG
rnacentral:rRNA from 1 species